rnacentral:tRNA from 1 species
GUGGGUACAGCUCUGUGGUAGAGUGCAUGCUUAGCAUGCAGGAGGUCAUGGGUUCAAUUCCCAGUACCUCCA